rnacentral:misc_RNA from 1 species
AAGUCGUAACAAGGUUUCCGUAGGUGAACCUGCGGAAGGAUCAUUACCGAGAUAUGUAUUGUGUCCACGGCGAGGUAAAAGGAACGGGGGGCCGAGAAAUUGGUCCCCCGCACACAAACCACACCAUCACCAACCUGCCAAUGAUUAAUCCAACCAUUAAAACUUGCAACAAUGGAUCUCUUGGCUCUU